rnacentral:lncRNA from 1 species
AAGCGAGUGGCCGAGUCACUUGUAAAAUCCAUUGGAAGAAACACAGUCUUUAACCAGACAGUAGUCGUCCUUCACAUGAAACAAGCCAUUAGAUAAGCCAUCACUUGUAUCAAGGUUCUUCAUCAAACAAUAAAGUAGAUAACCAUUACUAUUUCUUGUAAAAUGAGAAUAUAUGAUGAGUCAAUGACCAUGGUAUCUGAUUUUUGUUUGUUAUGGAGAACUGGUUAGAGCUCUAGAUAAUAUUAAUUGUUCAUUUUAUUGUUUAAUCAUGUCCAAUAUUGUGUAUGAGUACUAAACUUUGGCCAUUAAGCAUCACAGAUGUUUUGUCCAACAUCGGUAAGGAGAAACAUAUGCAUAAGCCAUCAACGGAAUGAGAAAAGUACGUGGAAAGCUACAGAAACAUAUGUUACUUUUACAAGAAAUGGAAGUAUGUAUUCACAAUUAUAUAAAUAAACAAGAUGUCGAGAUGAAUCAUUAUGAGAUAAAGCAUACCAUAUUGACUUAUUCUGGACACUUUCCUUCAAUUAUCUGCAACUAAAAGUAAAACAGGUUGCGUAUCAACUAUAGCUUCACAUGAAGGAUGAACCAUUAUGAGAUAAAGCAUACCAUAUUGACUUGAUCUGGACACUUUCCUUCAAUUAUCUACAACUAAAAGUAAAACAGGUUGCGUGUCAACUAUAGCUUCACAUGAAACAUUCAACAUCUGUGGUCUCUAAAAUGAUGAAUGUGAAUAAAUAUAAAAAAUUUACAUAUAUUUUAAGUUCCAGUUGUUGACUAACGAGAAUGGCAUUUACCUGGAGAACAUUGUACGUGCUAGCUUUUGGGCCACCAGAAAAAGACGCAAAGACAACUAGACAUGGCCUGAUUUUUAGCUC